CAGCAGCCGCGGUAAUACGAGGGGAGCUAGCGUUAUUCGGAAUUACUGGGCGUAAAGCGCACGUAGGCGGCUUUGUAAGUUAGAGGUGAAAGCCCAGAGCUCAACUCUGGAAUUGCCUUUAAGACUGCAUCGCUUGAAUCCAGGAGAGGUGAGUGGAAUUCCGAGUGUAGAGGUGAAAUUUGUAGAUAUUCGGAAGAACACCAGUGGCGAAGGCGGCUCACUGGACUGGUAUUGACGCUGAGGUGCGAAAGCGUGGGGAGCAAACAGGAUUAGAUACCCCCGUAGUCCCUGUCUCUUAUAC
rnacentral:rRNA from 1 species